AGUGAGACUUUCCCUCACACGUUUUUGUCUUCCAGUUUAGGCUUUUAUCUUUUAACAAUGCUCUACAAUGUUAAUAGCUUUGUAUUUCCUAUUUAUGCCUGGAGCGCAUGUUUGGGCAAAAGAGGAAUUUACCAUCUCCUGAGCCAUGAUACAAAACAGCCCAGAACUGUAGGUAGUAGCUGUCUCUGCCUUCAGUGAAUGGGAAGUCUGCAUUAACAAAAAGAGCCAGUACAGUAAGGGCCUGACAUCCAGGGAGACAAAUAAAGAUCCCUCUAAAUAACUGUAUUGAUGAAUUACAGGAAGAAAGUUGUUUUACCUUUGUUAUAAGACACAUAAAGUCCAAAAAGAAGAAGUUCUAUACAGUAAACCUGUAUAGAAGAACUACCUCCGUAUGCCAUAGAAAAUCCUACUGCAUUAAGUAAAAUGGUACCAAGGCCGCUUAAACAUAAUAGCCCAUUAAAUUCGUGUUUCAUUAUAUUUAGUAAAAUACUAAUGACAUCUUCCAGGUCAGUGUUAACUUGUAGUACACUUCAGAAUAGUAAUGCAUUACCACCAUUUCUCAUAGAGCAGCUUGCUAAUUCACAUAGAAUGGCCUCCGUUGAAAAGGACCACAAUGAUCAUCUAGUUUCAACCCCCCUGCUAUGUGUAGGGUACCAUUGGUGGACUCCUACUGAUGGCCUGCAGAAAACUGGUUAGUCACAGUGCUCUGGUUCACCUUAUUCCCGAUUGCUAAACUGCAUUUGCGGUAGUGGGAAGACAACCAAAAAUGCAUUCAACAUUUAACUUUGCACUGAAAUUAGUUGUGGUUGGAUCUCAAAUAGAGGACUACAGAAAUCCAACCUGGAGGGACGAGAAGCUUCCCAGUGCCGAAUAAGAGGAGGAUUGUCUCAGAUUUCCUACAAUGGCUCCCACAUUAAAAUGUGUUCGUAUCAGGAAAAAAUUAAGAGCCCUAUCUUUAAGUUCCCACAAGUACAGUGCCAAUUGGGAACGGUUCUUAGCUUUGAGCUAUCACUGAACUAAAAAUAGAGAUAUUCAGGAAACGCAUUACCCUCAAAAGUGAUUUCACAUACAGUCUGUAAACAUGUUGCCCUUUUAGGUAAAAUGGCAAUUGUUUGAAAGCCAUAAGCCAGAAAUAUUAAAAUGGAAAGGACUGUAAAGAUAGUUUGCAACACUAAAAAUUAAAAUGUGUGUCUUUUUCAUUUUCUGCAAUGUACUGUCGAGAAAAAAAAAAAGAAAAAGAGGCAGAAAAGACUAAGUACAGCAGGGAUGGGUGAAGAAGGAAAGUGAUAAGAAAUUAGACUUCUACUUUUUUGUUGCUGUUGUUUAUAAUAUUAUAUAUCAUAUAUAAAGGAAAUGCAGUUGCUCCUUUUUUUUUUUUUUUUUUGUAUGCUUGGAUGCAUCUCUGAUGGAUAUGGCCCGUAACAAUUGUUAAUAUUGCUGUGGUUUUUUUAAUGCAGAUUUCAUGUUUUUAAAUUAUGAGAUAUAACUUACAAAGGCAACUUGAAAGUUACAGUUGAGGUUACAAUGCUGUAAUAGUUUCUUCAAGUAAAAACUUUUAAAAAUGAUUCCUUAUUUUAUAUCCGCCGUACCCUUACAUUUCGAAAUCUGUGAGGCAAUUUUCUUGAAAGGUACGUGGACAACUUCUGAGUUGUUGGAAACAGAACAUGGGUCAUUAUUUUAAAUUCUGCAGUUGGAAGCAUUGAACAGGAAACUGCUUUUUUCUCUUCCAGGAGCUCAAAAUAAUUUUUGUUAAGUUUCUGCAAGUUCUGGAGAAAUACUCAGAAAAAGACAUAACUUGAUAAGAGAAACAAUAGAACUUUCGGUAUGGAAUUGAUAUGGGGUGGCAUCUCAUUUAAGGAUCUCUUGAGCUCCUCUAGUAAAAUAAAAAUUAUUCCGUCAUAGUCAGACAGGCAGAUAAGCCAGACUGGACAAAUAAUUUUGAGGAGAAUGACAAUCUGAUUUUUUUUUUCUCAUCAUACCGAACUCUCUCAAAAGGAGAUUAAAGUGCAGAGAUCUCAAACAGAGCUCACAUCUAUCCGAGAAGAAUUAAAAUAGUGCUACAGACAGGGAAACACCUACAGAUAACUGUUACAAUCACUCACCCUAGAAUACCAGUGCCAUUAAUGGAAGAUUAAAAGCUAAAACAAUACACUUCAGGUUUAGAGUCAAGUGCAAAGAGAAACAAUACAAUGAAGUGAAUCAUCACUGUGGAUCUCUUCUUGCAACCAAGCAGCAUGGUUCUUCCUUACAUUACAUAAUGCCAUGCCAAUUGGGAUGUACACUGAGAACUAAAACAGCAGUUUUUUCUGCUUGGCCUACAACAAACAACCAUGCAAAGACAUUUAAAUACAGGCUAGGAUCCUUUACAAACUAAAACUUCUGUAGUUUUUAACCACUUCUUCAUAGUCGGUACUACAUUCCGUAUUUAAGAAAGGCAUCAUGGCACACUGACAAUGUGUAAGCAAUACUAUGAGAACCACACAGUAGUGAACUCACUUGUCACACCCACCUACCCACCCUGCUCCUUUCCACAGACAUGCUCAGACAAGGAUCAUUUUGUUUUUGUUCACUGCAGGAAGGGGCUACCCAUGUCAAGACCUCACACCUAACUUUUGGAGACAUCCUAACAUGGUCAUUGUCACGCUUCAAUCUCUCACCUUAUUUUGACAAAUCAUAGAAUUACCAAGGAUGGAAAAGACCUCCAAGAACAUCUAGCCCAACCACCAUCUUCUGACAAAUGGGACAAGUUAGCCUUCAGCUAUUAAAUGUUGGUAAAAAUAAAACAGGGCCUUGAGCUGAACAAAAAAAAAAUACAGCAACAACAACAAAGAUCAUGAAAUGUAAUUUGGCAGGGUCAAAUCUGUCUUCUAAAAGAUGACCCCAGAGAUUUCUUGCAGUAUGCUUGCUGGCUGAUAUUCACUCCCCACAGUAGAGGGGAUCAGAGAGUAUAGAAAAACAUAUGUGGCAAGUAGUAACUGGGCAAAAGUUGGUAGCGUCACGGAGCCCCGUAAAGGAAACACCUCCAUCUCCACUUUCCAUACCACAGAACAAGAACAACAAAAACAGAAAACAACAAAGCAAACAAAACACUAUCUUCUUUUUUACAAAGCACUACAGCAAAUUCUGAAAGCACCAGAAUGCUCAGCUUCAUACCUGAUGCUCAUACAGAAAUUGAGCUCGGUAUGAGCAAUUAAUACAUGUGACCUUUUAACUUGGAUAACAAACUUGGUUAAUCAGAAUCACUAUGAGCUCUGAGAGGUUACACAAUGGCCUCAUAAAAGCCGUGAACAAUAAGCCAUCUUCUAUGCAGAACUCUACAUAUGUUAUUCUCACUGUCCUGCCACUGUUCUGUACUGGGAGGCAUCAGUGAAGAUGAACUCUCCACCACCAUGAAGGAAUCAAACAAAUACCAUGAAAGGGCAUGACUGAAGCAGAAAGCUCUGCCUUUCGGGAAAGCCAAAGGAGAGGCUGUUGCACACCUAAAUUAGAAGUAGGCUGGGCUGGAUAUAAAUAUUUGCUUGCCUUGAACUCAGACUAAGUACACUGGAAUCAGUCACUGAAAUAAUUAUACAAGUAUUUCAUAAUACCAUAACACCAACAAGCAAAACUGGGUACGAUGCACAAAUAUUUUGUAAUACAGCUAGGCACCUCUAUGUAGGUAAGAUGUAACUACGAAGGGCCAAACAGAUACUUGUGUUGUGGUUGCAGAAAAGAGGUUACAGUGGAAUACGUGAAGGGUACAAAAAUCGGUAAGAUAAGAAAAAUGACACAGAGCAGGCAGGAAAGAUAUCUGCUGGAACCAGAGUGAUCCUGAAAAUUAAUCUGAAGAGGGAAAGUGCUAGCCCUAAAAAUAAGGUAAUGUUGGGAGCAGAUGAGACUACCCUCAUUUUGCGUGGCAAGAGGGCUGAUAAGCACAAAAACCUCAAGAAAGAGCAAGUGAAGAUGGGGAAUAAAGAAGCCACUUCCCUCAUGAAAGAGCUCUCAACUUUGAUGACCUCAGCCUUGAUGACUAAGACCACUUCGGGCUGCAGGAACUAUGUGGUACUGCACAUUUGUAGCUAAUGUAGGAUACAGUUGUUAAGAACAAAUUGUUUGAAUAUCUAGUGAUAGUCAAUAAUAACUAAAAACUAAUCAUUGCCCAUAUGCAUUGUUAAUGAACAUCAGCAUCUAAGAUUUGCUUUUAAGCUUUAAAUUGUCCUGAUUUACCAGUCUUCCUAACACUCUCAUCACAGUAACGUUCCAUUCCCUGCCACAUGCACGUACUCAGCUGCAGGGAAGCAGGGCUGAAAUCCCCUCCCUCCCCUCCCCCCCUAGAGUAUCAGCUGGAAAGCUGUAAGGCAAGCCCUGCAGUGGAUCAGUUUCAUCAAGUAAGUUACAGGCUUUUCUAAUCUAGAAAUAAAGUGGAAACAAUAGUCUGGGCAGUAAAAACCUGAGGAGCACUUGAGCUUGCUAUAACUGAUGCUGAUACCCAACUUCUCACUACACUGAUCCCAUGCUGCAUCUCAUUAUCAAUAAUAAUAAAAUUAUUUCUUUGAAAAAGGGGCACGGAAAGAAUUGGCUCUAGCAUACCUUACAAGUAGAUAAAAGGAAUGAAAAGGAUGCCUUGAUGAUGAUCUUUCAGAUAUGCCAGUGAAAGGAAAAAAGAAGAAUCAUAACAAACACCCCACUAUAUCCCAAGUAAGUAAACUUACAUAGUCCGUUUCUCUUAUGGUAGGUUUCAGUUGGCAGUAAGUCAUAGCUAGUACAUAAUGAAUUAAAUCUCUCCUUAUUUCUGGAAGAUCUUUUUAGCAAUGGGAAGCUAAUGUUCAAGUCAACCUCUCAAAAUCUGCAACAGCCCAUAGGUCUCCUUUCUUCAGACUGUUCAGCCCAUACUCCAAGCUCUCCUUAAUUCAGGAAACAUUUUCAUCUGCGUUACUGAACCAGAAGAACCCGCUCAAGCCUUUCAGUAUGACUCAUUAUCAAGAUAUAUGUUAGCAUAUCUUAAGAAAAUACUGACAGCCUGUUUAUCAUUACCUUCUACAUUCUCGUUAUUUGGCAACACAGAACCCUGAUAUUUCCAGUCAGGAAUCUGAAAAUGGCCCUCAUCCCAUGAGCAGAUCAAUUCAAUCAUCUUUUACAAAGCAUAAAGAGAAUAAUGGUUUGCCAAAGGUCAUAGAGCAAAUCACUGGUUAAACCUGGAGUAACUAAGGAUAUCCAUCUCUGGAUAUCAGUUUUUGUUGUUUGUUGUUGUUGUUUUUCCUCUUGGCUUCCUUAAGGCUAAACAUGUAUGCUGUCUGGAAAUAUCUUGUUCCUAGGAAUACUUUAAAUACAUUUACCAAUUCCAACCAAAUAUGCUAGAGGAGUAGAGCCCUGAAUAAAGAAAGCUGAGUCCUACAGGCUUCAUUAAAGAAAAACAAACAAACAAACAAACAGAAAAAAACAGGUAGAAAGAAACAGUACAGAUUUCCCAAGACAAGAACUGCAGUACCAGUUAGUACCAGGUCACAGUUGAAGCAGCACACCAAUGGGUUUAGAAACAGCUCAAAUACGCACACAAAAAAAAAUGCUUCAGUGCCAGCUCAUAACUUCUUAAACAGCAAGUCGCUCAAUCAUAACACUAACCAGUAGUAGACUGGUAAAGUGAGUAGAUUCAUGAAUUCCUGUGCUCAUUGAACAAAUUAUUUCUUGCAGACUCUUGAAAAAGCAUUAUUUUCCUCUGCUACCUUCUGAAGUCUUGAUUAAAAAAAAAAAAAAAAAAAGUUUCUGAGUAGAAGUCUUCCUGAGGAGGGAGAGCAUACAUCACCAAGAAGCACCAUAUUGACAAUAAAUAAAUAAAUAGUCUUCUGCUUUUCAUCAACAGCUAAAUAGGUCAGAAGGCUCGACCUGCAUUCCAGAUCUGAUUUUGGCCAAGAUGAACAAUCUGCAUGCCCUAUGAGCUUUAACAAACUUUGCUAAGGAAAGCUCUCAAAUCAAACUCUCAAAUGCGCUGUGAGGGGAAUCUGCUACCAUUCUAGAUAUCCAGUAUUUUUAUCUGCUAACAUCUUGAAAUUUCAAGGACAUUAUUCUGAAUCUAGAUUAAGUAGAAAAAUUGAUUGGAAGUUUAUUUCAGUUUCUACAGCUUCACAGUGGUCAGCUACUAGCUUCAGAAAUCAAAGAGUAAGUAUGCAACACAUUAGUUGCAUAAGGCGCACUUACACAUGACCAUUGCUUGGGAAGGGUUGCUUAGAAGACCUCAGGCCUAUAUAGCAAUCUGAAGGCAUCAUCAGCCAUUUCAGGCAUUUGUCUUCUAUGAAAAGUCUAUAAAUAUUUUUCUUCUCCAACAAGUGGUAUGAUUGUUCCAUUAGCUAAUACCAUCAAUUCUCUAGAAGCUCUCACCAAAAUGGCAACCUAUACAGGAAAUAACUACAAUACCUCAGGUCUCAUGGUGUGACAGCAACGUGUAAAUGCUGAUUACUGGAUACAAAGAUCUUCAUUUUCUACUCACAUCUUUUUUACAAUCAUGUGACUCCAGAGAUUUCAGUGCAGUAACCCAUAACUUGACCCUCAUUUAUACCUUAAUCCUGCCUGCAGCAUGUGCUGCAAGCUGCCUAAAGAGCUGGAAAAUAAAAUAAAAUGAAAAUAACCGGUCAUUUUGAAGGCAUCUGCCUUUUCCACCUGCACUCUGGAAGAGUACGGUUCAGACAUCCCUUAUGUUUAAAGUACCUGCAGACAGUUUUCCUCUCUGCUUAUUUCGUUACUGAGGCCAAAAUUUUGGCACACGAUCAACUAGUUUCUGUUCGUAACUAACACUGCAGUAGAGCUUAAGUACCAAUAUCAAGGAGAAAACUGGUGGCCCUCUCAUGCAUUCUUCAAGUGUGAAAGUGGUUCACAGACUCCAAACCCAGCAAGUGCCAGAAGAGAAAUCAUAUUCUGACUGUACUGAAGAAUGCAUGCCACUUUUGAGAAGGCCCUUGAUUAGCUGAUGGUUUCCUUCUGCCUUUUCUGAGUUAAAAUCUGACCACAAUCACUCGAUCAGCUCCUAGCAACACCUUCUUUCUCUGGGAGGCAGUAUUUCUGGAAAGCAUCUUGCUGUGAUAGAAGAAUUAACAGGGUAGUGCAACAGGUGGUCACAACACACCCUCUCACUGUGAUUUUUGUUUCCCAUGAUUAUAUAAUAAUAAUAAUUUGGGUGGCACUGGUCGGGGUACAAAGACAAAUCAAAUAACUGGCUCCUGUGCUGGCAGAAUAACACAAUUUAAUCCUGAGACCAAAAGCUUUGCAUCUGAGUAUUUCCGACUGGUACAAAAGUUGGUAAUUCUGAAUAUGAAGUUGGUGGCCCAGGCCUCUCUGCUUUCAUUUUCUCCUGUGUUCUACUUUAUUUCCCAACUCUGCAUUCAGCAGCACACAGUGAUUUCCAAAAUCAUCAGCUCAUAUUUAGUCCCUAUUUUCAACUGCACACUAGAGACCUGCACCUAUUCCACAAAUAGAAAGAAUCCAAAUGCUUUCCCCUAGGCUCCUGCUUAGGAUUUCAUUAUUAAUUAUAUUUGAAGGUUAUACAGUUAAAAUACUAACUUUUUAUUUGAACAUUUAUAUUAAGCUGCUGAGAUUUCUAGCAGCUUAGCAGCAUUAUUUCUGUGUAAGAGAAUAAGCCUCUUAAAUUCUGCACACAGGCCUCUCGUUCUAAAAUGAAAGAUUUUAGAAUGGCACUGAAAGGUAACACUGAGUUAAUGAUGCUUUUUAAACUGAGACCUCAAAGACUGAUGGAGCAGAACUCUAUCAGUUAUGCAUCCCCUUAACCUUUCACAUGCUCUGCUAACAGUGCCUAAAUUCAUAUAAAGUUUAGCAAAAGUUAGUUCCAGAUGAUGGAACUCAGCCUCCUUGCUCAUUUGCCACGUGGAUUUUUUAUCCCUACUGCAGUACGACAUUUAAAUACUUGGUAGCAAAUCCCCAUUUGACCGUAUUUAACAAUUUUCCCUGAGAUAAUCAUGAUCAGGUAUGAGAAUCGUGUAUCAAGAAUGGCGGAUUUUAAGAUAGUGAUGUUUUGGUGGGUUUUUUUUCAGGAAGGGAUAGGCUGAUCCAAUGACCUCAGCAAAAGAAUGUGUAAGCCAAUGAACUGCUACCUUGCAACACAAAGUUGAACUCCCUGAUUUUAUGUUGCUGGCCAUAUUUUGAUCCUAGACAUAUGUAGUGCAAAUCCAGAACACUGAAAUCUGAAUGAAAAAUCUGUAAAUCUGUAUGAAAAUCCAGAGUUAUUUCCAACUUGUGACAGCAUAAGACAAUAAUUUGUUUCACUGGACAAAUUUCACCUCUAGAGCCAUUCUUUAAUCACUUGGACUGAGGUAAAGCAUGAAAUGCCCAAGUGAACAAGUACUGAAAAAUACAUACAAAAUUGAAUGUGCAAAGCAUGGACAAAUUUUCUUUCAAACAAACAUUUGUAUUUAUUCAUUACAGCAAAAGGCAUGCACCACUUCUUCAUACAGCUCAGGAUCUCAAUUUUAACCCACUUAAUGGUGGCUUUUGUCCUUUGCCUCUUGUUGUACCCCGAACAGACCUUUUUUCUUGCAAAUCUUUUGCCCAUGCUUUUGAAUCUGAUGUACAGAAAGGUUCAUUUUCCCAAAACAACUUUAUAUGUCAUGUCUGGACCUAUGUACUUAUAAACAUACAUAAACUCAUUAGCACUAUUUUCUUGCUUUGUUUAAAGGAUUUUCAACAAUUUCCAGUAGUAAAGGCACUCUCUGAUCACCUUGACCAGUUACAAAAACAAAAAUAACCUGAUGGCAUUAUUUUCAAGAUGGUAACCGCAGAAAAGCUUCUGAAUAAUUUGCAAAUCAACAGAGUGUCAAAAAUAAAUUAAAGAAAUAAAUUGCUGAUCCACAUACCUUGAUGAAGUGGAGCACGCAAAACUGCCAAACAGUGCUCUUCACAUGAUUGCAGUAUGCUUUGUACCAAACUACAUUGGGUUAGAGCAAAGGUCACAUCAGUAUAAUCACCCAGUGGUCACAACUAUGUUACAGCCUUAAAAUCCACCUCUUGGGAAAUUUGACUAGAAGUAUUAAAUAACAAUAUACUUUAUAUACUUGAAGCGCUUCAUAUUGCCCAAGAUCUAUACAAAAUUAACUAAUAAAGGGGAACUAAUUAAAAGGAGACGUUAAAUGGUAUUUAAACCCUGACUUGCAGCAAAACAACGAUGCACUUACCCUGUUCAAACUAACACACAGAAAGGGCUUGAUGGAUUUCUUGCCAUGUAAAACUAGCACGAAUGAGAACAGAUGAGUUAUAUAAAUUUAAAUACCCUAAGCUGAAUGCAAGAGUGUUGAGAGGCAUGUGGCAGUCCUCCCAGUAAGGCCACUCAGCACCUACAACACCAUUUUCCACCAAGGGCUCAGAACACUGGGCACAGCCCUCACUCCUUCUUGCCUCUCGAAUGGAGCCAUAUCCACACCUGCUGUAUCUGAAUAUCAAGAAUCUGCACGAGGACAGCCUAACUUUCAGUAUAACUUGCUGAGCCCUCAUCUCACAUGCCAAGUUUCAUCCCAGAAUGAAAUUUUAACAGUCAAGUUCCAAACCCACAGCAACAGGGGCUCAGAGUUGAACUGCUGACAAGCCCAUAAGGAUAGUAGUGCACAUGGCGCCAACAACAGACAAAAUUGCCCCAUUUUAUAGCAUGCAGGAAGGCUGGAAUUCAGCUGUUAUCAGGAGCAAUAAUAAACUUCUGCUGGUGACUCAGGCUCUCAGCCUCAGAUUUACAUUCCCUCUGUCACUAAGAGUUUUUAAGUUAAACAAUUUUAAAUGAAAAUGCAAUAAACAGCAUUUAUAUUCUGAUGGCAUUUGUCCCAAUGCUUUUCAGCUACAACGAUGGCAUAGGCUUUCUCUUGCUCCCCAUCUCCUCCUCCUUUUGCCACAGGAGCCACAGAGGGAUGGAUCCUUGGAUUUCAUGCAUGCUGCAUGAAACCCAAGGAACCCAUUCCAUCUUCAAGCCAGGUUCAGUUACAAGAUUACACAGAGGGGAAAAGCAGCACGUGAUGCCAAGAACAGAGGUUUUUUUUUUUUUUUUUUCCCUUUUUUUCUCUCCUCCUCCUCCAGAAUUCUUCUUGAAGCACUCACAAGCCACCUCAAGGAAAAGAAAGCUGCAGCUUUACCUUGUAUCUCAGCCCUUCGAUGUUUCCUCCCACUUACAACUGAAGGUCAGAUAUGGAAAAACUAGAGAAAGAAAGAAAGACAGAAAGACAGAAAGAAAGAAAGAAAGAAAGGAGGCUGGCUCGUUAUGUAACAGCACUUGAAAUAAAACAUCUGGUCUUGAGGACACCUGAGUGACACAUGGAGACCAGCCAUCCAGAAACUGUCUCCUGCCCAACUUCCCACUCCUAACUUUCCUUUCCUCCUGACAACUAUCCUUCACUCCCUUAAGGAUUCCAAUUACAUCAGUAACUGAUAAGUUUAAAUUUAUCUGCCCAAUUUCUAUGUUUUAUUUUUCCAAUCCAUCUCUCGGGAACAGCUUUUAACACAUUUGGAUUUUUUUUUUCCUGUCAUAAAAUAUUCUAUUUAUUUCCCAGCAGCUGGUGUCAAAAAAAGUUGUUGUUCUCUUUAAAUAUUACUCUUAAAUAAAUAAAAUCUGUUUUCAUAUAAUGUAGAAUUAGUUUUGCCUGCUGUGAGUUUGUGGCAUUAUGAAGUGAUCAUUUUUUUUCAUGCAUUAUUCAGAAGGAGGGUAAAAAAAAGGAAAGGCAAAGAUGACGGACAAUAGCGUGCCAUUCGGUUUGUAUAAAUGCAGCAGCCGUACUAAUAGUUCACUACGUGCAGCACAGACAAAACACUUUCUCUUUGUCAAACGUGGCCACUAACCUUAAUUUAGUAUUUCAGAGAGAGGUAGUGAAAGAUUCAUUUCUUCCCUCGCUGUCCCCCUAUGACUUAUCUAGUGGGGCAGAUAAUAGACAUGUCUUAUUUUGCUAGCAAGAUAUCAGUGUUUUAGACAAGAAGUAUUUGGGAUGCUUACGCUCAGUAUUACAGCUCAGCUGGCCCUUGAUGGCCUUUAAGUCUUUUUUAUAUUUUAUUUUUAACAACCUAUUCUUUGUUUAAACCUCUGGUUUGACAGUGUCUCUCUGUCUUUCAUGAAAAACUAUUAGAAUUGUUAACAUUUCCUCUGGAGUCUUCAUAUUACCCUGUCUUUCAGAACGGCUGUAACUGCAUAGCUGUAAUUAUUCUCACUUUGAAUUCUGACUGUCGUAUUUGGAAGGGGAUGAAGGGUGGGGAUUUUAAUAAAUCACUCAGGCUCCCCAAGGCACAUGGUAUCACACCAAAUCUAAUAUGAACUUUUAAGUCCAUCAAGGGUGAGCAUAUAAUAUUCACUGUACUUCUCUCACUGAUACCUCAUCCAACAUUUUGCAUUGAGACAAUACAUUACAUCAUGUUGUCAGCUUUGGGAAACCAAAUUCAGCCUUUUCUAUCUAUCAACGAUGUAACUUCUUCAGCCAUGGCAGAAAACAAAAUCAAAGUUUGAGCUUCCUUUUUUAUGUCCAACAAAAGCAUUUACUGCUUAUUUAAGACGACCUUGAAAGAAAGUAUUUAGCAAAAAAGAAAAAAAAAAGAGAAAGCAAAUUCUUUCUUUCAAUAAACUCGCUCUCCCCCUGAAAGGCUUUGCUCUGUGUAUGGAUUUUUCAUUUACUUUAAUUAUUUUCAAGUGCCUCUGCUCAAAUUGGUAGGAAUUAAGUAUCCACAACAUCAGUGUAGGUCCUAGUGCUAGAUGUUAUAAACAAAAUGUUCUUCAGUGGCCUAAAUCUGCAUAAGUAGGAAGUCUUGAGAAUUUGGGAAGUCCUUUUCCACAAGGAGUACUUCUGGGGACCCCAUGACCUAUGGGAAUCAGUUCUCAAAGCGUAUGUUAUGGGACUUGCACUACAUAGACAUCACAUCUCUCUAAUCACAAACACAUAAAUCCUUCCUACCAUCUUGUACAAAAACAAGAAUGUUGUUAGCAUUUCAAUGAAGAAAGCUAAAUCUCACCUGUAAGUGGCUGGUGCCAACUACAACAACUGACAAAACAUUUUCACCCAUCACUGAAUCAUGGAAAAUCUUCACUUGGAAGAGACACCCAAGGAUCACUGAGUUCAACUCCUGGCUCUGCACAGCACCACCCCAAAUCCAAACCCUAUGUCUGAGAGCAGUGUCCAAAUGUUCCUUGAACUCUGGCACUUGGGACCAUGGCCACAGCCCUGGGCAGCCUAUUCCAUGCCCACCACCCUCUGGUGCAGACCCUGUCCUUAACCCCCAGCUGCCCCUCCCCUGACACAGCUCCAUGCCAUUCCCUCGGCCCCCGUCGCUGUCACAGAGAGCAGAGCUCAGCGCUGCCCCUCUGCUCCCUGUGAGGAGCUGUAGCUGCCAUGAGGCCUCCCCUCAGCUCCUCUGCUCUGCGCUGAGUGCGCCAGCAGACCUCAGCCGCUCCUCACACACCUUGCCCUCCAGACCCUUUCUCAUCCUCAGAGCCCUCCCUAGGAUGCUCUCUUGAACUUUUAUGUCCUUCUUGUAUGGUAGUGCUCAUAACACACAAUGAGGUGACGCCUCCCUGAUGCAGACCAGAGUGAGAAAUACACGAGGAUUUAGUUGGACACAGUAGUCAAGUGUUAUAAGAAAAUGCAGAGAGACCAAACAACUAGGCAUAUAAUCAAAAGCACAUUGUAAUCUUUCAUAAUCUCAGCAAUCACUUCUUUCUCUCACAUGCAGCCAUACAUAUACUCACAAACAGUAACAGGAAUGCAAAAGUUUUUGUCCUUUGUUAAGUGUUCAAAGCCCAGAUAUCUUUCUGGUUAAUAAAUACACACAGUAAAUUCAACAAAAAGAAGAAAACAAGCACUAAGUAAAAGCCCUUGGCAAACUUCAGAUGGAAGAGUUCAGAUGCAAUUAUGUGCAGACAUUCAGAGAAGGAAGAAGAGGAACCGAGGCUGAGGAAAAUGCACACGAUUUAACCAUUAUCCCAUCAUAAGCUGUGGACUUUGCCUUGAACUGAGAUUCCAAAAAUAAACAAUUAACAUUUAAAUCCCCAGCUUUAUUUUCAGUGGUACCCUUUCUCCUGUGGUUACAUGCAUGCUCAAAAACAAAACCCCAGCUAACAUCUACAGUUUUGAGCAACUUUAGCCCUGAGUCCCAAGGAAGAGCUAUCAGUCAAACUUUCCACUGUACCUACAGGUUUCCACUGUCAUGUUCUGAACUGAGGACACAAUAAAACUGAAAAUGCAAUAAAACUAAAACCAAAGGGAGAAGAAACAGACAAAAUGAAGUUAUAGAAGGUGUGAUACAGGCAUCUGGAAAACCAGGAGCUAUCACCUGUGGUAAAUCUUGUUUUGUUAGUCUCCUCACUUUCACUCUGCAUUCCUGUUUGUAGCGCAUACUUUCACAUAAAUUUAUAGCUCCUCUGCAUGUUGCCCAUAGUUACACCCAGUACUUACAGGUAAGCCCACAACUCUCUUACUCCAGAAGGGAAGAAAAUCCACAGUAUGAAGUAAAGUAUGAAAACAAUUCUGCACUGACCUGCACUUGGUUACAUCUUCGGAAUAGUUGCUUUAAAAUACAAGUUGUUGUUGAGGUUUGAUUUAAAAAUCCCUGUCAGCUUUGACAUUCAGGUGAAAGCAUUUCUGCUGGCUCCAGAACAAUUUGCAUAUCUUAUCACUAAAUAAAAUGUCUGAGGUGUGUACCAAUCUGAUGAAAUUAUAAACAAGAGUCCACACAAGCACACAUCUUCCUGUUUGAUUUCUGUCCUUUUCACUCUUCUAUAAUAAAUUAUAAGAUCAUCUCAUUCUAGAUGGAGGUUUAACUGUGCAUGUAAAAAGGAAAAUGAAAGCAGUCUAUUCUUUUUCACACUUUACAACUGAGAACCUGACAAAAUUGUGGAUUUGGUGAACAAGCAGAAAAGCUCAGUUUGUUACAAUCUACUUCCUCUUUAACUGCCACACAAAUGGUAGAAAAUCCAAUGUAUUUAUGUAUCUUUAAAAAGUUUUCCACACUCAACACAAACUAAUACAUAAAACUACACCUCUUUUACUGCUAUGACUAAUAUACAUGCUUAGCUUUAUGUCCUGCAAUUAAUCUCAUCUACUUCAAUAAGAUUACUCAUAAUGCUGUAAGUGAAAUACAUGUGUAAAUCCUUGCAGAGUCAUGGCCUGAAUUGUCAACAGCAUUACAUGGAACAAUUAAAUGCCCAGGCCCAGAAUGGCUCUUUAGAAAGAUUAGAAGAAAUCUUUAGGCAUAAGAGGUAACAAAAUCUACUCGAGGGAGAGGCUAUGAGGGGAACAGUAUUCAGGGGAUUGUCUUCCCUUGGGAAAUUCACCCAUCACCAAAUUAUUCCAGUAAUACUAUAUUCACCUUUUUCAUCGACUAGUUAUCACCCUCUCUCGCCCCUCCUUUCUCACUCUCCAUCGCAUCUUGCUAUUGCUGCUUGGUGCCAAAAGAGACAGGAUAUACGUUUUUAUUCUUUUGUGCAGCAGCAUAGGGUGACAGAACAGUCGGGUCCUCAUUUUGACUAGCUCAAUAAUAAACAGUUCACAUGCUAAUUAACUGAGCUAGAUGCACAGUUGAACAAAUGCACCAACUUUCCUUCUUAACCUAUUACUGAAUUGUUCACAUGCUAGUCUCUCAACCCUCUGACUGCAGAUUACUUGCCCAGUAUACUCUAUGGACAAUCUUUAAUCUGUACUUUCUUUAUUUGAGUUCAUUACAAGAAGUUGCUGAUGAAAACAAAUACUAAUUGAAUACCCAAACUGUUUAGUUCCACCUACUGACAAGCAGCUUACCGCCUAGUUUGCUCUGUAAAUAUUCAGAAGUUCUACACAAAAAGUUACUCUCUGUACAUUAUUUAGUGUUUGACUAAAAAUCAUGGCUUCAAUACACACUUCUGCUCGACAAAGUCAAUCCCUUAAAAGUUCAAAUGACUAUUUGUCACAAACAUUUCACCUCUACUAAUGAACUGCACAAGCAAAUGAUAGAAAAUGCAAAGCUGUAUUAUGCUUAGCAGUUAACAUUUUAAUAAGGAGGAGAUUAGCAAUUUUUAAUACCUCCAGUGCUUUGUUAUAUACAGUAGCACAAUAACUGAAUAUUUUAAUUGCUAGUUAUUUAGACCUCAUUCAGUUCUCAGUCAGGCAAAACUCCCAUUGAGGGAUUCUUGCCUGAGAAAAGAGCUACAGGAUUUGUCUUACUGUAAUUUGAAAAAACUUCAUAUAUCAUAAAAACUAUCAAGUUAUGGUGAGACAAAAAUCAUUAAAUCCUUAGCAAUAUUAAACUCUACUGAAAGUCCCACUGACUCCCAAUGCCAAUGUUUUUAUAUGAAGUAAAACAGAUAAUUGCAGUUUACCAAUUGUUACUUACCUGCAUAAUUUAGGCCCAGAUAUGCUGGUGCUCUUAACAAGAUCUAAUAAUAUUUUGUCUUCUUAUUGUACCCUUGCUUUUCUCCUGUGGGAAAUCUCAAUUCAAAUGUGAUAGGGAAACAGCAUUUCCAAAUAAUUACACCAUCAACAUCUUCAGAAACCCAAAAAGUAGCAUUUAAUUUUACCUUUUGACUUCGGACUCCAAAAGGGCUGAGAGCAGCUCUCAACACUUCUUCUUUAUGCUGCUGUAAAAAAAAAAAAAAAAGAAAGAAAAGAAAUUUACUUAAGCUUAUGUUUAGAGAUUUGCACACAAAACACACUGAGUUUUCAUAACAGUCAAAUAACGAGGAGUCAGUGGGGGAAGUGAGCAGAAUACUGUAUAUAUAUCAAUAUACAGCUACCUGAAGGAAACAAAGCAGUCUUACACACCCAUGUUUAGCACACAGGUGAUGAACAAAUAAGUUAAAUGUACUAGCACACAGCAUGUCACAUUCUACGCAGACUUCAGAGAGAAAACCUAUACAGCUGAACACCAAUCCAGUAAGGACCAACUCAUAUGGCUUUAUGCUCGAAAAAAAACAAAAACCAAAAACACUUAUUUUUUCCAUUAAGUGCAGUUUUACUCUGGCUAGGAAAAAAAAAAAAGAAAAACUAGUAUGUGUGACAACCAAAGUUUUGUCACUAAUGUUUUACAUGCAAAAGCAUUUGUGGAAAAAGUUACAAGUAAAUACUCUAAAAGUUCAAGAGUUUAAAGUGGUUCUUCUAUUUUUCUUAAAAAAAGUGUAUGAUGUCCUUCCAUCUGUCAGCUAUAAUUGGCUUUAGCAACUAAAACAAUCAGAAAAUCUCUCUAUAGGCUGCUUUUUGAAGGAGAAUUAAAAGAAGACUUAGUACUAUGUAACACUAAUUGACAAAGCGUUCAGAACUUGCUACCAAACAGGAGUAUUUUAACAUCACAAAUUAGACUUGGGCACUCUACUUCCACCAGUUCAGAAUAAGGCCUAGGGAUCUAACCAGUAUAAUUUCUGAACUCUGUUAUGAGAGGUUCACUCAGAUUACAAUUCCCAAACCCAGCCCAGCCAGGCUUUGUGCUCUCUCACAGGAACAGCAGGAUCUAUUCAUCACCCCUAAGUACUGAACUUCCACCUAGGAACCCACGGCCAACCUAAUUACCAGCUCAACCAUGGCAGGAAUGGGCUAACUAAGCUUACUUGUAUUCCGUAAUGCUUUGCUGGUGAGGGGUUUCCAAAGCUACACACAGACAUUUUAAUCACUGAGAUUUUGACCCCUUUGUCACACUACAGAACUGACUCAACAGCAAUUAUUCACCAUAAACUUGUUUCCCCAGAUCUCAAAUGAUUUGUUGUAUUCAUGGAACUGUAAUCUGCUACCUGCUAAAAGUAAACUGCUAUAGAAAAGAACUGUUCUUUGAAGCAAUCUAGUAGUUUAUUAGGAAAGAAAGAAUGCAAAGCAUUGCUUACUCAAGGUAUAGAAGAUGCAAUGACAGCAGGCCUUCCGGUUCAUCAUUUCCAGGCCGGACUUCCCACCACUUUCUUGCUACUACAGAGGUGUUUCUGUUUCCUUCCUGCCUACACGCUCUUCUUCUCAUACCUGCAGCCUUCCUUUUGUUUUCUGGGAGCAUUCUACCUCCAAUCGUAACAAACAAACCAUGCCCUAGGUUCAUCACUUGAGGAC
ensembl:lncRNA